CCCCAGUGAUAAGUCGAAGACUAUGAUUUUGAAUGACAUCCAAUUUGUGAAGCAGUUGGUUAUUUGAAGCAAAACAAAAGAAACUGUAUUCAAAGUGGCUACGAACAAGAGAUUUUUAUAGAGUUAAAAGAAUUUUAGGAUCAGAGCCCCAGUAUGUUCCAGCAAGAGACCUCAAAAUAUUCAGUGCCUUUGUAGCUCUGUCAGUUACACAAUCAACAUAUUUACCCCAGGAUACAUUGUUAAGAAACAACACACCCAAGAACUUAGCUUCUGUUACAGCUGGGAGUUCUGUACUCUCAUAAUAUAAUUUGACCUGAAAAGGCCUUCCUUUAUUGAAUACUAAUACUUUGGAUUUCUCUAUACUUAUGUCUAAGGCAAGAUAAUUAAAAUAGGCAGACCAAUGGAAACAAGCUCUGAAGACAGAAUAUGAUGAUUUACGUUAUUGAAAGCCCCUACUACAUCAAAAAAUACACUGGCCAAAACAUUAUUGGAUUUGAAUGCUUGAAAGAUGUCCAAAUGUAAAUGGGCAAUACUCUCUCUAGAAGAUCUGCCCUUUCUAAACCCAAAUUGAUUAGAAGAUGAUAUUGCUGACAUUAAUUCGGCAAAUGAAAAUGGUUC